rnacentral:lncRNA from 1 species
ACUGUGUAUUUUAGAGGACUGUUGUGAGUAGGCGCAGGAAGGUUCCAACUUUCCCCACUGUCAGGUUCUGUAAAUGCUGAUGGUUGCUACUGUCUUAUCAGGAGUUUUCAACUGUGACGUCCAUAGAGCCCAGACAUGGGGGCUCUGUGGCAAGCUUGACGUAUAAGAAGCAUGUGUGGGCAUCUCUCUGGUGGAUAGCUCUUGUCAGUUCUCAAAAAAGGGACCCAGCAGAUUUAAGACACAUGUCAAGAUUCAGAUGAGCCAGUGGAACCAAGGUCACACAGCUUGUAAGAGGCAGAACCAGGAGGUAGGGUCCUUCCCUCCAACCUCCACCCCGGUUAAACACCAUUUCUCCCUGUUGCCCAUCCUGUGGCAAAUGAGGGGAAAGAAAUGCUCAGAGGGACCCAGGAGGGAGGGAACCAGAUACAGAGCCCAUGCCCUUACUCUUUAUCACCAGGAUGUGGGUGGGGGACAGUGAGGGACAGGAGAAUGAGGAAGCCCAAAGGAUAGGGAAGAGGCCUGGGAGUUCCUUCCAGGAAGCCCCACCUGCUAAAUAAGUGAGCCAUCCUGUUUCCCAACACCCACCCCAUGCCAGGCCGAGGAGGAAGCACAGCUCUCUCUGUCACUGACCGCCUUGAGAUAGCUUCCCUGGUUUUUAGUUUCUGGAAAAUAAAAAUUGGGGGCGGGGCUGGAGUUGUAGCUCAGUGGUAGAGCGCUUGCCAAGCAUGCGCGAGGCACUGGGUUCGAUCCUCAGCACCACAUAAAUGUAAAAGAAAGAUAUUGUGUCCACCCAAAACUAAAAAAUAAAUAUUUAAAAAAAUUGGGGGGGUGUGGAGGUGGGUAGUGGGCGAAAACAGCUCUGUGGAACACGCACGGCAGGAGAGGCUGGGGAAGAUACCUUGCCAAAGCUCUUGGGAAACAUGAUGGGCCACACUCAAUGUAAAGGAGCCCUAAGGUUUGGAUCUGCAAUGUUCCCCGAAGGCCCAUGUGGUAGACGCUUGGUUCUCAGUGUGCCCCUACUGGACAGGUCUAGUGGGGGGCCUUCAAGUCACUGGAGGUGUGCCCUGAAGGGGCUAGUGGGAUCCCACCCCACUCUUCCUCUCUUACUUCCUGGCCACCAUGUGAGUAGUUUGUUCCACUACAUGCUCCUGUCAUGAUGUGCCACCAUAGGCCCCAGGUCAUGGGGCCAAGUGAUCAUGGACUGAGACAGUUAAAACUCUGCACUGAAAUAAAGUUUUUUUCUCUCUAUAAGUCGAUCACCUCAGGUAUUCAUUACAAUGACGGAAAGCUGACUCACACAGGCAGUCAUCACCCAAAGAUGCCAGGUAUCAAAAAAAACUGAGUGCCAGGCCUGGGCUGGAUGCUUUGCCUACAUCAGUCUGCACGUCAGGACUUCAGGAGGCCUUCCUUCCCCACCCUGUUAGAGUCAACUCUCUCUUCUUCCCCGCCUUCUAGUUACUCUCUC